AAAUUGAAGAGUUUGAUCAUGGCUCAGAUUGAACGCUGGCGGCAGGCCUAACACAUGCAAGUCGAACGGUAACAGGAAACAGCUUGCUGUUUCGCUGACGAGUGGCGGACGGGUGAGUAAUGUCUGGGAAACUGCCUGAUGGAGGGGGAUAACUACUGGAAACGGUAGCUAAUACCGCAUAAUGUCGCAAGACCAAAGAGGGGGACCUUCGGGCCUCUUGCCAUCGGAUGUGCCCAGAUGGGAUUAGCUAGUAGGUGGGGUAACGGCUCACCUAGGCGACGAUCCCUAGCUGGUCUGAGAGGAUGACCAGCCACACUGGAACUGAGACACGGUCCAGACUCCUACGGGAGGCAGCAGUGGGGAAUAUUGCACAAUGGGCGCAAGCCUGAUGCAGCCAUGCCGCGUGUAUGAAGAAGGCCUUCGGGUUGUAAAGUACUUUCAGCGGGGAGGAAGGGAGUAAAGUUAAUACCUUUGCUCAUUGACGUUACCCGCAGAAGAAGCACCGGCUAACUCCGUGCCAGCAGCCGCGGUAAUACGGAGGGUGCAAGCGUUAAUCGGAAUUACUGGGCGUAAAGCGCACGCAGGCGGUUUGUUAAGUCAGAUGUGAAAUCCCCGGCUCAACCUGGGAACUGCAUCUGAUACUGGCAAGCUUGAGUCUCGUAGAGGGGGUAGAAUUCCAGUGUAGCGGUGAAAUGCGUAGAUAUUAGGAGGAACACCAGUGGCGAAGGCGGCCCCUGGACGAAGACUGACGCUCAGGUGCGAAAGCGUGGGGAGCAAACAGGAUUAGAUACCCUGGUAGUCCACGCCGUAAACGAUGUCGACUUGGAGGUUGUGCCCUUGAGGCGUGGCUUCCGGAGCUAACGCGUUAAGUCGACCGCCUGGGGAGUACGGCCGCAAGGUUAAAACUCAAAUGAAUUGACGGGGGCCCGCACAAGCGGUGGAGCAUGUGGUUUAAUUCGAUGCAACGCGAAGAACCUUACCUGGUCUUGACAUCCACGGAAGUUUUCAGAGAUGAGAAUGUGCCUUCGGGAACCGUGAGACAGGUGCUGCAUGGCUGUCGUCAGCUCGUGUUGUGAAAUGUUGGGUUAAGUCCCGCAACGAGCGCAACCCUUAUCCUUUGUUGCCAGCGGUCCGGCCGGGAACUCAAAGGAGACUGCCAGUGAUAAACUGGAGGAAGGUGGGGAUGACGUCAAGUCAUCAUGGCCCUUACGACCAGGGCUACACACGUGCUACAAUGGCGCAUACAAAGAGAAGCGACCUCGCGAGAGCAAGCGGACCUCAUAAAGUGCGUCGUAGUCCGGAUUGGAGUCUGCAACUCGACUCCAUGAAGUCGGAAUCGCUAGUAAUCGUGGAUCAGAAUGCCACGGUGAAUACGUUCCCGGGCCUUGUACACACCGCCCGUCACACCAUGGGAGUGGGUUGCAAAAGAAGUAGGUAGCUUAACCUUCGGGAGGGCGCUUACCACUUUGUGAUUCAUGACUGGGGUGAAGUCGUAACAAGGUAACCGUAGGGGAACCUGCGGUUGGAUCACCUCCUUA
rnacentral:rRNA from 1 species